GACGAACGCUGGCGGCGUGCUUAACACAUGCAAGUCGAACGGAAAGGCCCUGCUUUUGUGGGGUGCUCGAGUGGCGAACGGGUGAGUAACACGUGAGUAACCUGCCCUUGACUUUGGGAUAACUUCAGGAAACUGGGGCUAAUACCGGAUAGGAGCUCCUGCUGCAUGGUGGGGGUUGGAAAGUUUCGGCGGUUGGGGAUGGACUCGCGGCUUAUCAGCUUGUUGGUGGGGUAGUGGCUUACCAAGGCUUUGACGGGUAGCCGGCCUGGGAGGGUGACCGGCCACAUUGGGACUGAGAUACGGCCCAGACGCCUACGGUAGGCAGCAGUGGGGAAUAUUGCACAAUGGGCGGAAGCCUGAUGCAGCAACGCCGCGUGCGGGAUGACGGCCUUCGGGUUGUAAACCGCUUCCGCCUGUGACGAAGCGUGAGUGACGGUAAUGGGUAAAGAAGCACCGGCUAACUACGUG
rnacentral:rRNA from 1 species